UCGAGAAUUUUUCACAAUGGGCGCAAGCCUGAUGGAGCGACGCCGCGUGGGGGAUGAAGGGUUUCGAUCCGUAAACCCCUGUCAUUUGCGAACAAACCUUGAUGGAUAACACUCAUCAAGCUGAUUGUAGUGAAAGAGGAAGGGACGGCUAACUCUGUG
rnacentral:rRNA from 1 species